GGAGUUGUGCCUGAACUAAAGGAUUACUUUGAUAGAGUAAAUAAUGGAGGUUAAACUCCUCCCAGCUCCU
rnacentral:tRNA from 1 species